rnacentral:rRNA from 1 species
UACGUAGGGUGCAAGCGUUAUCCGGAUUUACUGGGUUUAAAGGGUGCGCAGGCGGAUAUGUAAGUCAGUGGUGAAAUCUCCGGGCUUAACCCGGAAACUGCCGUUGAUACUAUAUAUCUUGAAUGCUGUGGAGGUAAGCAGAAUAUGUCAUGUAGCGGUGAAAUGCUUAGAGAUGACAUAGAAUACCUAUUGCGAAGGCAGCUUACUACGCAGAUAUUGACGCUCAUGCACGAAAGCGUGGGGAUCAAACAGG